UACGUAGGUGGCAAGCGUUGUCCGGAUUUACUGGGCGUAAAGCGAACGCAGGCGGAUCUUUAAGUAGGAAGUGAAAGGUUGGAGCUCAACUCUGACACUGCUCCCUAUACUGGAGAUCUUGAGUUCUGGAGAGGAAAGCGGAACGACACGUGUAGCGGUGAAAUGCGUUGAUAUCAGGAGGAACACCGGUGGCGAAGGCGGGUCUCUGGGCCGAUACUGACGCUGAGGAGCGAAAGCGUGGGGAGCAAACAGG
rnacentral:rRNA from 1 species